AUAUUGGUACUAGCCCUUGUAUAUGUGCUGGCAAGGCGGCAAAGAAAAAAGGAGAACAGUCCUUUCUCUACUCAACCUGAUUUGCUACGUAUAGCAACAUAUAGAAGGUUUUCAUACCAGGAACUCAUGCAGGCUACAAAUGGAUUAGACGAAAGUAACCUACUUUUGGAUAUGGAGGGAUGCUUGGUAUGGCUGUUGCAGUAAAGCUGUACCAAUGUUGACGUCAAAGCAUUGGUGAUGGAGUUCAUGCCCAAUGGAAACCUUGAGGCAUUGUUGCACUCUAAUUCCUAUUGCUUGGAUAUGCUACAGAGGUUAAACAGCUUGGUAGAUGUUGCACUUUCUUCGGAAUAUCUUCACUACAAUUUUGUUUUGAUUUUCAUGAUUUCUCUACAUUUUUUAUGUCAUAUGCAGAGUCUGGAUCACAGGGAAUAGUGUCUUAUGGAAUCAUGUUGAUGGAAACAUUUACAAGGAACAAGCCCACAGGAGAAAUGUGCUUGAAAGAUUGGGUAUUAGACUCAUUGCAGAGUGGUGAGAUGAUGGAUUCCAAACACAAAUGAGAGUGAUCUGGCAGCUAAUGUGUAUAAUCUGUCAUGAGUUUGGCUUGUGAAAUGAGGAUCAACAUUCUACACAGGCUGAAGAAAAUAGAGGACAAGUAUGAAAAGAACAUGCAAGCGACUUGCAAAUUACCAUAAAAUCUUUUCUUUUUCUCUACAAAAGUGGAAUUCUUUUUGCUUCUAUAAUGGUUAAGCUACUAUAUAGUCUCAACUUAUGCUUACGUAAAACAAUUUAUUCCUCUAAAUUCUGGAGUGUACGAACUAGUUUUAGGAAAAGUGGUGUCCUUUGUAGUGCUGUGCAUCAGCUUCAAUAUAUAAUUGAAAUGAAAAUUUUUAUGAACCAAA